CACCAGCUGCCAAGCAUAGCAAGCCACACUCUCCGGCUGGCCUCCAGCUAUGGAGCCUUUGACUCCCAAGUCCCUCCCCUCUGCUGACACAUGCCUGUUGUUUUGUGGCUUAAUGGAACUCCAGCAUCACUGCCUUCACCGGGGACCUGGUCUUCUGGGGGGAGGGGAAGUGCUUACUUCCCUAUGUAGGAAACCGUGAGGGGAAGCAACAUCCUCACAUAUCCACCCAGAGACUUGACAGAUAAGUCUUCCUAAUGCCCCACUUCCCAAGGGGCUUCCGUCUUUAAGGCACUGGGUUCUGGAGACCCGCGAGGGUGGUGACACUGAGGGAAUGGUGUUCUGCUUCCUGGAAAUGUGGAGAUUCAAAUGCGGACUCCCAAAGGAACCACGCCUGGCACCCGCAGCAAAACCUUAAUCCCCAGCCCAGGCAUUCCAUUAGUGCAUUACGUGUGUGUUAGCUACAGCUGUUACCUCCGCUGGCUCCGAAGACGCUCUGCACAAGGUGACGUUUGCACUGCCUGGGUGGAGUCAGGCACCCUCCAGUCCCAGGUAUUUAUAGGUUACCCCGAGGAAGUCUUGUCACCUCCAACACGUGUGAAGCUGCAACCCCAAUAAUCCAGGAAUCCACCAGCAUUCCAAUCCCUUCAUCCAGCAGGAGCCGAUUCGAAAGACUUCAGGGGACCGUGCCCAAUAUUCCUGGAGCCAGGGCAUCUCUGGAUGUCGUAGGGUCACACUUCACACGGUGGAGCCUACUGUUGUUCUAGGGAGACAGACGGUAAACCCUCUGGAAGGAAAACUGAGUUUUAGAAGAGCAACUUUCUGCCUGCCCUACGAUCAGGAGCGACGCCUAUUCUUCAUUUGGUGCUUCCCAAAGCGGUGCGAGUCCUGAGGGAAACAGAGCAGAACACCACAUCAGCAGCCGGGCAAAUCCCAGCACCUGAGAGGAGGAGGCAGGAGCAUGGACUGCAUCAAGUUCAAGCCCAUCCUGGGCUAUAGCAAGGCUAUCUUCAAAAGCCAAAUGAAAGGAGCUGGGGAGAUGGUUCAGUGGACAAGAUGCUUGUGCAAACCUGAGGACGUGAGUUUGAAUCCCCAGCACCCACAUAAAAACCAGCAUGGCCCUACCUACCUCUAACCCAGCUGGGGAUGGGGGCAGAGGCAGCAAGAUUUCUGAAAACCUGCUAAUCAAACAGCCUAGGCCCAAACUGAGCUCCAAGUCCAGAGAGAGACCCUGUCUCCAGGGAAUAAAGAGACUGAUAAGAUAGUUA